rnacentral:tRNA from 1 species
CCUCCUUUCUAAGGAUGAGUGAAAGUAAAAUUUCACUCUAAAUAAUAUACAUCGGUAAUGUUGACCGUCCUCAUUUCUCUUCUUAAAGUAAUGUUUCCUUCUUGUAGGGCCGGUAGCUCAGUUGGUUAGAGCACACCCUUGAUAAGGGUGGGGUCGAAAGUUCGAGUCUUUCUCGGCCCACCAAAAACCUAAAUGGGGGAUUAGCUCAUCUGGGAGAGCGCCUGAUUUGCAUUCAGGAGGUAGCAGGUUCGAUCCCUGUAUCCUCCACCAGGAAACAUUUAGUUAUUAAAACUGUAAAUAAAAAUAAUUUAUAUCAAUAUCUAUAUCCGAACAUUAAAAGUUAUUAUUUAAUGUUCAAAAUAAAAAUUUGAUCACAACAUAGAUNAAUUUUCUGU